GCCAUACCGCGUGGGUGAAGAAGGCCUUCGGGUUGUAAAGCCCUUUUGUUGGGAAAGAAAUCCCACCGGCUAAUACCUGGUUGGGAUGACGGUACCCAAAGAAUAAGCACCGGCUAACUUCGUGCCAGCAGCCGCGGUAAUACGUAGGGUGCAAGCGUUACUCGGAAUUACUGGGCGUAAAGCGUGCGUAGGUGGUUGUUUAAGACUGAUGUGAAAUCCCUGGGCUCAACCUGGGAACUGCAUUGGAAACUGGACAACUGGAGUGUGGUAGAGGGUAGCGGAAUUCCCGGUGUAGCAGUGAAAUGCGUAGAGAUCGGGAGGAACAUCCAUGGCGAAGGCAGCUCCCUGGACCAGCACUGACACUGAGGCACGAAAGCGUGGGGAGCAAACAGGAUUAGAUACCCUGGUAGUCCACGCCCUAAACGAUGCCAACUGGAUGUUGGGUGCAGUUAGGCCCGCAGUAACGAAGCUAACGCGUUAAGUUCACCGCCUGGGGAGUACGGUCGCAAGACUGAAACUCAAAGGAAUUGACGGGGGCCCGCACAAGCGGUGGAGUAUGUGGAUUAAUUCGAUGCAACGCGAAGAACCUUACCUGGCCUUGACAUGUCUAGAACUUUCCAGAGAUG
rnacentral:rRNA from 1 species